UACGGAGGAUCCAAGCGUUAUCCGGAUUUAUUGGGUUUAAAGGGAGCGUAGGUUGACAUAUAAGUCAGCUGUGAAAGUUUACGGCUCAACCGUGAAAUUGCAGUUGAUACUGUAUGUCUUGAGUGUACAAGAGGUGGGCGGAAUUCGUGGUGUAGCGGUGAAAUGCUUAGAUAUCACGAAGAACUCCAAUUGCGAAGGCAGCUCACUGGGGUACAACUGACACUGAGGCUCGAAAGUGUGGGUAUCAAACAGGAUUAGAUAUCCUGGUAGUCCACACAGUAAACGAUGAAUACUCGCUGUUUGCGAUAUACAGUAAGCGGCCAAGCGAAGGCAUUAAGUAUUCCACCUGGGGAGUACGCCGGCAACGGUGA
rnacentral:rRNA from 1 species